GCUCUGCGUGCGCCGGAGGCUGCCAUGGCGGGUGGGCAGCUUGACUUCUCCUCCCGGCCAGUUGUCGAGCGCCUCACCAGGCCUCGCCCUGCAGCCUCGCUCUCCCUGGCGCUGCGCGGCCUAGGGGACUGGGCUGCUGGCCUCCGGGUGCGGGGUGGGGGCAGGCUCUGACCUGGGGCGUUCUGGCCGCGCGAGCCGCGGGAUGGGGCCCCCGGCCCCGGAGGAGGCGCCGCUGCUGUGUCCCUUGGUGGAGAGGGCGCUGCCAGCCCUGCGCGGUUUCCAGCCAGGAAGCUUCGGGAAGCCUGGACGUCUGCUCACUGGAGAUGACACGUGCGUGGGGUGUUGGGAAGGAGGUGACUUCGCCUGUGAUGGACUCCCAGUGUGAGCUGUGAUGGACUUCCAGUGUGAGCACUGGCCAGAGUGACCAGGCCGACCAUCAACAGCCCUGAUCCAGAUGCAGAGGCCAGGAUGUGGGCCCAGCCCUGUGCCAGAAGGCUGGCUGGAAUAAAGGGAUGGGCAGGCUGGCAUGGGGGCACCCGCUGCCCCUGCCUGGGUGUUGCUGUGUAUUCCCGCCGGCCAGGGGCCACUGCCAGGACCACCCCUCCCUUUUCAUAUCCCGAUUCUUAAGUUCUGCUAUUGUGGUAUUGUGGUCGAAAAAAAAGAACCGCUUGGCUGUUUUUGAACUGCCUGGAACCUAAGAUCCUGAAUUUUUUUUCCCCCCCAAGGGGGAAAGUCUAUAUGGAAAACAUUUAUUUUAAAAUACAGGAUGAAGUGAAUUAAAAGAUUUAAAUGCA
rnacentral:lncRNA from 1 species